rnacentral:rRNA from 1 species
GAUGAACGCUAGCGGCAGGCUUAACACGUGCAAGUCGAGGGGUAUAGUUCUUCGGAGCUAGAGACCGGCGCACGGGUGCGUAACGCGUAUGCAAUCUACCUUUUGCAGAGGGAUAGCCCAGAGAAAUUUGGAUUAAUACCUCAUAGUAUGUGAGAAUGGCAUCAUUUUCACAUUAAAGUCACAACGGCAAAAGAUGAGCAUGCGUCCCAUUAGCUUGUUGGUAAGGUAACGGCUUACCAAGGCAACGAUGGGUAGGGGUCCUGAGAGGGAGAUCCCCCGCACUGGUACUGAGACACGGACCAGACUCCUACGGGAGGCAGCAGUGAGGAAUAUUGGACAAUGGGCGCAAGCCUGAUCCAGCCAUGCCGCGUGCAGGAUGACGGUCCUAUGGAUUGUAAACUGCUUUUGUACAGGAAGAAACACUGGUUCGUGAACCAGCUUGACGGUACUGUAAGAAUAAGGAUCGGCUAACUCCGUGCCAGCAGCCGCCGUAAGAC